CCCUAACCGCGCAAAGGUAGCAUAAUCACUUGUCCCUUAAAUAUGGACCAGUAUCAACGGCAUCACGAGGGUUCCACUGUCUCCUUUCUCUAAUCAGUGAAACUGAUCUCCCCGUGAAGAAGCGGGGAUAAACCCAUAAGACGAGAAGACCCCAUGGAGCUUCAAACCAGCUUUANCCCCCCCCCACCCUUUUUAUACCCUCUUAUCUGCGGAACACUACAUGCUCGGUUUUAGGUUGGGGCGACCACGGAGCAUAAAAAAACCUCCAUGAUGCAUGAGCCUACCCUCUUACCUAAGAAACACACUUCUAGGAAUUAGCACACUAACAUACUAUGAUCCAGUAACUGAUCAACGAACUAAGUUACCCUGGGGAUAACAGCGCAAUCCAUUUCAAGAGCUCCUAUCGACAAAUGGGUUUACGACCUCGAUGUUGG
rnacentral:rRNA from 1 species